UAGAUGUUUCCCAUAAAUUCGGUUCAAUUGCUACGCCUCUGCUCCCCGUUGCGGAACGAGCGCGUCGGGAUUGCUCUCGCAAUCUGUCGGGAAUCUGGACUAAAUUUGGGAGCGAACGCAUCCUUCUCCCGGCAUCCGCCGUUCGUUGUUGUUCAGGACGACGAUGAUGACGGCGACGACGACGACCAGCACAAGGACAACAGUUUAAAGCGGCGCUUGGCAGGAAAAGCGAGCGGUGGAAAAGCACCUUUACGUGAAUGGGAAACUGUGCCACCGGGCCCGGAGCCGGAGUUCAGUUGGCGCUCAGCUGUGAAGCUCUUCGGUUCAAGGCAAACGGCCCCUUUCCAAAAAAAGCAGGCGGCAGAUUCGGAUUUGCUGCAGCGUGGAAAACCACAGGAUAUUUGCAUGAUUCGUGUUGUAAUGGCUUCGAGCAUUUCGAUCGCUGACUAGAGGGGUGAGUGUGGGUGCGCAGCGGGACGUCUGGCAGGAGGUCUGAGAUUGGAUUAUGGUGAAGCACUGUGUGGAUGUAUCCUUGUAGAUGGGCACGGCUCGUCAGUUGUUCUGAAUCACUUAGUAGCGGUGUAGAUUACUGUUCCGAUUGCUAAUAAAAGGCAAUACGAUUGGCACGGUUGGCGAAAAAGUUCGAAUUAGUAUGGUUUUGUCGGCAAUUAUGUAGGAUCAGUGCUAUUUUGGAAGCCUCGCAACACCCCCGAGUGGAUAACCAUUUGCGUGAUGAGGGAAUUAUGAAAGCCAUUAGGAACGAAUUAACCAUCCAGCCGGUAAGUGAGCAGCUGUAGUUAGUGGGAGUUUCGGCGAUGAUUGACGACCAGGAAGAAGUGAUAUCAGAGAGGGCUAAUUAAUUUUUACGAUAUUCGUGUUUCUUUGUCAGCAGUCAGCGGGGUUAGUGUUCUGAAGGAAGUGCGAAAAAGGAAGCCGCUGUGGUGGGAGUGAGUUUGAGGUUGAUGGAAAAUUUGGUUGGCAAAUAGAUUACAGAUAGGCAAGUUGGAGUGACAGCCGACAGCAGCGAUCGUUGACCGAUAGUUUACUGCUCCGGUGGACAUUGCUGGAUGGAAAAAGGUGAAUCCUGAGGUCACAAUUAGUUAUCGGAUUUCACGAAGGAUGUUUUGCGGUUAGUGAGUGGGAGCUGUUCGAGAGAUAACAUCGGUGUGUGCGGUGAAAAACGGUACGACAGGAUUUUGAUGUGUAUAUAACAAAAGUGGAAAAAGAUUCGGCUGAACCGCAGCUUAAGAGGAUUAAUUUGUUGUCUGUGGGCGAAAAAGUUCAGCAGAUAAUCCUCCAGCCAGCAUUGAAAGUACGUCGGCCACACAAAGGGAAGCAACUGCCACCGCGACCGGUUUCCGGCAUGGAUUUGUACCCCUAACCAGCCUCUGUACUGAUGACGAUGCUCUGGCCGCAUCCGGAACGAAUAAAACCUACAACGAGAAUGGAAGAAACGAAGAAUCAAUAAUCUCUAAUCCAGCAUCUAUCAAAUUUAUCCACAUAAUACGAUUCCUGUGUGCUUCCUCUCGGCAUUGACAAUCGGAUUAAGCAGUUUCACCGGAACGGCCUUCCACCGCCAACCCGCCAACCAGCCAGCGAGCCGAAUAAAUAGGAAACGGCCAGACAGCAACAACAAUAACAGAAAAAAAAGUCCGAACGACGGACGUCAAGGAUGGGAACUGUGGUGUGCCUUCCGGCUGGACCGGAACUGGUGUCCCAGUGCAACCGUUGUACAACCUGUUUGCCGAAGCCGUUCGGAAAGCGAGGUGUCUCUGCGUUAAGUUCGGCUGUACCAUCCAGUGACAGUGUGUAUAAAUUGGCUGAAGUUCGACAAACUAAUGAUGGAAAACUGAACCACAGAAUAGUUGAAGGUGAGUAAAAUAUUUUAAUAUCC